GCUGUGGUGUCCGAGUGGUUAAGGAGUUGGACUCGAAAUCCAAUGGGAUCUUCCCGCACAGGUUCGAAUCCUGUCCGCAGCG
rnacentral:tRNA from 1 species